ensembl:ncRNA T03G6.5 ncRNA
AGGAGCUCCGCUCAAUGCACACAUGUUGCACUAUUUUGCGAGUAGGUCAACGGUGGGAAGGUUCCACAAUACACCUUGUUCUGUGACAUACUUUUCCACCGAAAAUCAGUCUUCUCGUGUGGAUUUUCAAGAUGUUCCUUUGUUUGUGUGAAACGGAACUU